rnacentral:rRNA from 1 species
AUGUGGUCCCUAGAGGGGGCAAAGGAGGUCUUGGGCAAGUUUUGCAUCAUUGACUGGCUCAACAGCCACACCUUCGAGCGCCGGGACACGCGCAUGUUCUCCUGCUGGGUGUGGGUGUGGAGCCUCAUGGACAUCCCCACCCGCCACUGCAUCUCCAGCUUCGAGGAGGGUGCCGGCCGGAUUGUGGAGAUGUUGGGCUACUCGCCGCCGCUCAGAGCCAACCGUGUUGUCCCGCCGCCCCCUGAGGGGGAGCGCGGCUCUCUGCUCUUCCACAUCGACCGCGUUGAGCACUGGACCCCUCGCGAGCCGGGGUCUCUUGCGUCCUAUCAGAGCGGUCUGCCCUCCUCGGGUUCCGACGACGACGACCGCCGCCCCAUGCCGGAGAUUGCCACGCUCGACUGGAGGUUCAACUUCGAGGACAAUCGAGAGCACCACCCCCACCGGCUCCAGUCCCUGCAUGACAUCUUUUGUCCUACCCUCCCGUGGCAGCGGGGUCCUAACAGAAACUAA